rnacentral:lncRNA from 1 species
UAAGAUGUGUCUUUCAAGUUAACUUGUGUGCUUGGUUUGGUCGACUUAAUCAACCUCAACCUUAAACCUGGCUUGUAUUCAAUGUGGGCUGAAUCUGGAGCUUGACUUGUUUCUUAAACCAGAUUUCUAUUUAGUGUUGAGCUUCUAUUUACUGGUUGCACUUGUUGGUCUAGUAGAUAAAAGUGAUUAAUCUUUUGCGAUUCAACACAAUAAAUUUCUGGUGUUGGCUGUUUGAAAUGUAUGUGCUGCUUCUUAUCUAUCUAGCUAGCUAGUUUGUUUAUGGUGCCACGUUGGCAUGUAAACAGCUUUAAAUCUAUCAGCCUGGUAGCGUUUGUGCUCCUGCAAAUUGCUUCAGCAAGUGCUUAUCUGAACCGGUAAUGUUCCUUGUGUUCAUCUCUAGAUAGAGUAUCUCCAGAUUAUUGAGAUUUGAUCUGCUAUGCUACUGUUUUAUUACAGGUUCGUUUUUGGAUCAAGUCGGUGCUUUUGGAGAAUGAGAUGGUUGUGAGGACUAAAAGGAACAAGGGCUUGACAUGCCUCGCUCGCCUACUGUCUAUGCGUCUCAUCGCCUCCGGCUGCUUGGGGGUCCAAGUUCUCGCAGUUGCUGCUGCUGCUUUGGCUGUGGCCUAUAUAAUGUUUUGGUCCUGGUAAUGUCAAGUAGUCGUUGCACAUGGUGGUAGCAUCGUUCUUGUGAUGCUCCAGGUUCAGGGCCCCAUCUUAUUCUAACUUGUAAAGAAAGAAUCUUGCUAUGAUGGAUCGAUGUUGUUGAAUCAGUUCAUCAUCGGAAUAUGGACCUGCUCAUAAUAUUAUUGGCAAACGCGUACUCAUCUUGUGGCAAUCUAAUGUGAUUCGGCUGCUGUUGAUCUGUGAUCCGACUUUUGAUAGAUUGAUCACUCUAAUCAUGAGUUUCUUUUCCCCCUUGAAUAGUAGCACAAUGCUCGUGUGUUGCUGCCAUUGGAGCCACGAGUAGCCUACUGACUGGUUGAAACACGCUGUAGCGUUUUAUUAGACCAUUCUUUAUCUUAUGUAUACUCCCCUAGUAAAUAAAAAAA